rnacentral:rRNA from 1 species
AUUGAACGCUGGCGGCAGGCCGAACACAUGCAAGUCGAGCGAGCGGCGGACGGGUGAGUAAUGUAUGGGAAACUGCCUGAUGGAGGGGGAUAACUACUGGAAAAGGUAGCUAAUACCGCAUACCAUCAGAUGUGCCCAGAUGGGAUGAGCUAGUAGGUGGGGUAACGGCUCACCCAGGCGACGAUCCCUAGCUGGUCUGGGAGGAUGCACAGCCACACUGGAACUGAGACACGGUACAGACUCCUACUGUAGGCAUCAGUGGGGAAUAUUGCACACGGGGCGCAAGCCUGAUGCAGCCAUGCAGCGUGUGUGAAGAAGGCCUUCGGGUUGUAAAGCACUUUCAGCGGGGAGGCGUUACCCGCAGAAGAAGCACCGGCUAACUCCGUGCGAGCAGCCGCGGUAAUGC